GUACGUGAAAGCGGACUUCGGUCCGUAAGUAAAGUGGCGCACGGGUGAGUAACACGUGGAUAAUCUACCCGACAAUCAGGGAUAACAUUUCGAAAGGAAUGCUAAUACCUGAUAAGCCUACGCCCUCUUCGGAGGAAGUAGGAAAAGGUGGGGACCUUCGGGCCUGCCGUUGUCGGAUGAGUCCGCGGCCCAUUAGCUAGUUGGUAGGGUAAUGGCCUACCAAGGCUACGAUGGGUAGCUGGUCUGAGAGGAUGAUCAGCCACACUGGAACUGAGACACGGUCCAGACACCUACGGGUGGCUGCAGUCGAGAAUCUUCCGCAAUGGGCGCAAGCCUGACGGAGCGACGCCGCGUGCGGGAUGAAGGCCUUCGGGUUGUAAACCGCUGUCAGUGGGGAGCAAAUCCCUGGGAGCUAUCUCCCAGGGUUGAGCGAUCCGCAGAGGAAGCGCAGGCUAAGUUCGUGCCAGCAGCCGCGGUAACACGAACUGCGCGAACGUUAUUCGGAAUCACUGGGCUUAAAGAGUCCGUAGGCGGCUUGGUAGGUGAGGUGUGAAAUCCCACGGCUCAACCGUGGAAUUGCGCUUCAAACCGCCAGGCUAGAGGGAGAUAGAGGAGAGCGGAACUGAUGGUGGAGCGGUGAAAUGCGUUGAUAUCAUCAGGAACACCGGUGGCGAAAGCGGCUCUCUGGGUCUCUUCUGACGCUGAGGGACGAAAGCUAGGGGAGCGAACGGGAUUAGAUACCCCGGUAGUCCUAGCUGUAAACGAUGAGUGCUUGGUGUAGCGGGUAUUGACCCCUGCUGU
rnacentral:rRNA from 1 species